rnacentral:snRNA from 1 species
AAACCUACCUGGCAAGGGAGACACCAUGAUCAGGCAGGUGGUUUUCCCAGGGUGAGGCUCAUCCCCUGCACUCCGGGUGUGCUGACCCCUGCGAUUUCCCCAAAUGCGGGAAACUCGACUGCAUAAUUUGUGGUAGUGAGGGACUGCGUUCACCACCACCAUC